AUUGAACGCUGGCGACAUGCCUUACACAUGCAAGUCGAACGGCAGCACGGGUGCUUGCCCCUGGUGGCGAGUGGCGCACGGGUGAGUAAUACAUCGGAACAUGUCCUGUAGUGGGGGAUAGCCCGGCGAAAGCCGGAUUAAUACCGCAUACGAUCUACGGAUGAAAGCGGGGGACCUUCGGGCCUCGCGCUAUAGGGUUGGCCGAUGGCGGAUUAGCUAGUUGGUGGGGUAAAGGCCUACCAAGGCGACGAUCAGUAGCCGGUCUGAGAGGACGACCAGUCACACGGGAACUGAGACACGGCCCAGACUCCUACGGGAGGCAGCAGUGGGGAAUUUUGGACAAUGGGCGAAAGCCUGAUCCAGCAAUGCCGCGUGUGUGAAGAAGGCCUUCGGGUUGUAAAGCACUUUUGUCCGGAAAGAAAUCCUUGGCCCUAAUACGGUCGGGGGAUGACGGUACCGGAAGAAUAAGCACCGGCUAACUACGUG
rnacentral:rRNA from 1 species